rfam:Thermosediminibacter oceani DSM 16646, complete genome.
CCCACCGUAGGUGGGUGCCGAAGGAAGCCGGCGGCAAAGCCACGGCCUGAUGAACAAGAACCCCAUAAGAGGCUGGACCGCUCGGAUGAGCUGGCAUAACACAGCGAAAUCCUAGGCUGCCGAGGGGCGGUAGAGUAUAUGGGGCAGGCGCGGGGCGGAGGAAGGGC